rnacentral:rRNA from 1 species
UACAGAGGGUGCAAGCGUUGUUCGGAAUUAUUGGGCGUAAAGGGCGCGUAGGCGGUGCGGUAAGUCUGCAGUGAAAUCUCUGGGCUCAACUCAGAGUCUGCUGUGGAAACUGCCGUGCUUGAGUGUGGGAGAGGUGAGUGGAAUUCCCGGUGUAGCGGUGAAAUGCGUAGAUAUCGGGAGGAGCACCUGUGGCGAAAGCGGCUCACUGGACCACAACUGACGCUGAGGCGCGAAAGCUAGGGGGAGCAAACAGG